AUUGAACGCUGGCGGCAUGCUUUACACAUGCAAGUCGAACGGUAACAGGCCUUCGGGUGCUGACGAGUGGCGAACGGGUGAGUAAUGCAUCGGAACGUACCCAGAGGUGGGGGAUAACGCAGCGAAAGCCGUGCUAAUACCGCAUGUGAUCUGAGGAUGAAAGCGGGGGACCGAGCAGCAAUGUUUGGCCUCGCGCCUUUGGAGCGGCCGAUGUCGGAUUAGCUAGUUGGUGGGGUAAAGUCCUACCAAGGCGACGAUCCGUAGCUGGUCUGAGAGGACGACCAGCAACCUGGGAAUUAGAAAACGGCCCGACCUCCUAGGGGGGGCAGAGUUGGGAAAUUUUGGACAAUGGGGGAAAGCUUGACCCGGAAAUGCCGCGUGGGGGAAGAGGGCCUUGGGGUUGUAAACCGUUUUUGGCAGGAAGGAAACGGUGUCCGCUAAUACCGGGCGCUAAUGAGGGAACCUGCAGAAUAGGCACCGGCUACUACGUG
rnacentral:rRNA from 1 species